UACGAAGGGUGCAAGCGUUAAUCGGAAUUACUGGGCGUAAAGGGUGCGUAGGCGGUUGUUUAAGUCUGUCGUGAAAUCCCCGGGCUCAACCUGGGAAUGGCGAUGGAUACUGGCGAGCUAGAGUGUGUCAGAGGAUGGUGGAAUUCCCGGUGUAGCGGUGAAAUGCGUAGAGAUCGGGAGGAACAUCAGUGGCGAAGGCGGCCAUCUGGGACAACACUGACGCUGAAGCACGAAAGCGUGGGGAGCAAACAGG
rnacentral:rRNA from 1 species